rfam:Halonotius sp. J07HN4 genomic scaffold scf7180000001348, whole genome shotgun sequence.
CCCGGUUUGCCGGGACGAAAUGUGGUCGGCCUGACCGACUGAAUCGCAAG